UCUCCCCAGAGGGAGGGUGGCCUGGGGCGGGAUGGUCGUGUACUGUGACAGGGUGUCAAGUGGACGGUGCAUGCAAGCCGAGUGUGUGAACACAAGAGGGGUGAUCGUGCAUGGGGUGUGCAAGACAAGUGUGUGCCCCCUAUGGUUCUCCACCCACCUACACAUUGAUCUUAUUUGAUCAGGUUGUGACCCCAACACCACUGGGCGGAUUAGAGAUGAAAAGAAGUUUCUCUUCUAAGGA